rnacentral:rRNA from 1 species
UACGGAGGGUGCAAGCGUUAUCCGGAUUUACUGGGUUUAAAGGGUGUGUAGGCGGGUCUUUAAGUCAGUGGUGAAAUCUCCGAGCUUAACUUGGAAACUGCCAUUGAUACUAUUGAUCUUGAAUUUUGUUGAGGUAGGCGGAAUAAGUCAUGUAGCGGUGAAAUGCAUAGAUAUGACUUAGAACACCAAUUGCGAAGGCAGGUUACUACUGGUGGAUUGACGCUGAUGGACGAAAGCGUGGGUAGCGAACAGG